GAUGAACGCUGGCGGCGUGCCUAAUACAUGCCAGUCGAGCGAACAGACGAGGAGCUUGCUCCUCUGACGUUAGCGGCGGACGGGUGAGUAACACGUGGAUAACCUACCUAUAAGACUGGGAUAACUUCGGGAAACCGGAGCUAAUACCGGAUAAUAUAUUGAACCGCAUGGUUCAAUAGUGAAAGACGGUUUUGCUGUCACUUAUAGAUGGAUCCGCGCCGCAUUAGCUAGUUGGUAAGGUGACGGCUUACCAAGGCAACGAUGCGUAGCCGACCUGAGAGGGUGAUCGGCCACACUGGAACUGAGACACGGUCCAGACUCCUACGGGAGGCAGCAGUAGGGAAUCUUCCGCAAUGGGCGAAAGCCUGACGGAGCAACGCCGCGUGAGUGAUGAAGGUCUUCGGAUCGUAAAACUCUGUUAUUAGGGAAGAACAAAUGUGUAAGUAACUAUGCACGUCUUGACGGUACCUAAUCAGAAAGCCACGGCUAACUACGUG
rnacentral:rRNA from 1 species